GAAAAGAAGAGAAAACAAGACCGAAACUAAAAGAUAGGAGGAUUUAAGAUCCUUGGCUUAAGACCCUAAAGACUAGUACUCGCUCUUCUCCGCUCAUGCCGCAUCCGCUCAUGCCUCAACUGGGACUUAGUGUUUGGACCUGGACUUAAUGUUUGGUUGGAGAGAUUAACAGGCUUAAAAGGAAGUAAGAAAAAGAAAAUAAAACCAGAAAUCUUUAAAAUUAAGGGAGUUUACUCAAAACUUCACAAAAUAAGUAAAGCAGAUAGAUCAACUCAAGAUCCACUCCUAGGCGGUAGUCCGCCACCUGGGGAUUGAGGAGAUAAGGAAGAUUAACGAGAAAUAAACUCCAUAACCACACCUAGGCGGUAGUCCGCCACUUGGGGUUGGAGGGUUUUGAUUAACUAUAAUCUCCAGAACCACACCUAGGCGGUAUUCCGCCACCUGGGGUUGGAGGGUUUUGAUUAACUAUAUCAGGCCGUUUGGCUCUGAUACCAAAAACAGGUUAUAUAUGCAAAGAAUAUAUAUAUAUAUAUAUAACCUAUCAGCCCUUCUUGGCUGCGGACGUCCGCACCUAAAGUUUUUGGUGCGGAAUACCUAUUUUUGCACCACUUCCCGAUCGAAUUUCCUCAAACUUCUUUCUAGAUAUAUCUAGAUCAUCUUGUGUAGAUCAUCUCUACAAAAUUUCAGCCAAUUUAGUGAUCGUUAAGGCCCUCAAACUUGCAUUUUCUGUUAUAUACCUGAACCGGACAGAAUUCAGUUCGUCAGAUUUGUUUUUCGAUUUUGAGGGCCUUAACGAUCACCAAAUUGGCUGAAAUUUGGCAGAGAUGAUCUAGAUAUGUCUGGAAUAAAGUUUGAGGAAAUUUGAUCGAAAAGUUGUGCAAAAAUGGAAAUCCGCACCAAAAAAUCGGUGCGAACGUCUGCAGCUGAGAAAAUCUCUAUAACCUAUAUAUCCAAACUAUAUAUAUAUAUAUAUAUAACCAAACCAAAAAUAUAUAUAGUUAUAUAUAUAUAUGACAA
rnacentral:lncRNA from 1 species